UACGUAGGGGGCAAGCGUUGUCCGGAAUCAUUGGGCGUAAUGAGCGCGUAGGCGGCCCUGUAAGUCCGCUGUGAAAGUCAAGGGCUCAACCCUUGGAUGCCGGUGGAUACUGCAGGGCUAGAGUCCGGAAGAGGCGAGUGGAAUUCCUGGUGUAGCGGUGAAAUGCGCAGAUAUCAGGAGGAACACCGAUGGCGAAGGCAGCUCGCUGGGACGGUACUGACGCUGAGGCGCGAAAGCGUGGGGAGCAAACAGG
rnacentral:rRNA from 1 species